rnacentral:rRNA from 1 species
ACGGAAGGCAGCAGUGGGGAAUAUUGCACAAUGGGGGAAACCCUGAUGCAGCGACGCCGCGUGAGUGAAGAAGUAUUUCGGUAUGUAAAGCUCUAUCAGCAGGGAAGAAAAUGACGGUACCUGAUUAAGAAGCCCCGGCUAACUACGUGCCAGCAGCCGCGGUAAUACGUAGGGGGCAAGCGUUAUCCGGAUUUACUGGGUGUAAAGGGAGCGUAGACGGUUCUGCAAGUCUGAUGUGAAAGGCAGGGGCUCAACUCCUGGACUGCAUUGGAAACUGUAGAACUAGAGUGCCGGAGAGGUAAGCGGAAUUCCUAGUGUAGCGGUGAAAUGCGUAGAUAUUAGGAGGAACACCAGUGGCGAAGGCGGCUUACUGGACGGUAACUGACGUUGAGGCUCGAAAGCGUGGGGAGCAAACAGGAUUAGAUACCCUGGUA